rnacentral:rRNA from 1 species
AUAGAACGCUGGCGGCAGGCCUAACACAUGCAAGUCGAGCGCGAAAGUCUUCGGAUGAGUAGAGCGGCGGACGGGUGAGUAACGCGUGGGAAUCUACCUGGUAGUGGGGGAUAACUCGGGGAAACUCGAGCUAAUACCGCAUACGUCCUGAGGGGGAAAGCGGGGGAUCGCAAGACCUCGUGCUAUCAGAUGAGCCUGCGUAGGAUUAGCUAGUUGGUAGGGUAAAGGCCUACCAAGGCGACGAUCCUUAGCUGGUCUGAGAGGAUGAUCAGCCCCACUGGGACUGAGACACGGCCCAGACUCCUACGGGAGGCAGCAGUGGGGAAUAUUGGACAAUGGGGGCAACCCUGAUCCAGCCAUGCCGCGUGUGUGAAGAAGGCCUUCGGGUUGUAAAGCACUUUCAGCGGGGAGGAAGGCGUCAUGACUAAUAUUCAUGGCGAUUGACGUUACCCGCAGAAGAAGCACCGGCUAACUCCGUGCCAGCAGCCGCCGUAA